CUUUUUUUUGCUAUUUGCACAUAUUUGCUCCUGAGUACGCUGAAUUUCCCCUGUGUUUUCUUUUUUCAGACUUCUGCAGAGCUCCUGAAGCAAACUUAACAGAGCUGCUCUACUGAAAGCUUUCUGAAGUCGUUCCUGAAAUAUGAUUCAUAAUCUCUUGAGAUUAACUCAACGGCAAAAAUUAAAAUCUCUAAUUAAAUGAGAAGGAAGGCACCAGUAAAUAAGCAGCUGGAGGAAAUAAGGAAUUAUCCUUGCUUCUGACGAGACCUAUUUUAAACAUGUGAGAGGGAUAGCAGUUCCUUCACUUCUGCCACUGGCUGAUGGACCAGAAGAAUGUGAACCUGCCUGCCUGGUUUCAGUAGUCUUUGCCUGAUUUGUUAAGGUAACUUGUCAAUUUGUCCAAUGCACAACUGUCCUUUA
ensembl:lncRNA